CAUAGGUUAAUGAGGCGAACCGGGGGAACUGAAACAUCUAAGUACCCCGAGGAAAAGAAAUCAACCGAGAUUCCCCCAGUAGCGGCGAGCGAACGGGGAGCAGCCCAGAGCCUGAAUCAGUGUGUGUGUUAGUGGAAGCGUCUGGAAAGGCGCGCGAUACAGGGUGACAGCCCCGUACACAAAAAUGCACAUGCUGUGAGCUCGAUGAGUAGGGCGGGACACGUGGUAUCCUGUCUGAAUAUGGGGGGACCAUCCUCCAAGGCUAAAUACUCCUGACUGACCGAUAGUGAACCAGUACCGUGAGGGAAAGGCGAAAAGAACCCCGGCGAGGGGAGUGAAAAAGAACCUGAAACCGUGUACGUACAAGCAGUGGGAGCACGCUUAGGCGUGUGACUGCGUACCUUUUGUAUAAUGGGUCAGCGACUUAUAUUCUGUAGCAAGGUUAACCGAAUAGGGGAGCCGAAGGGAAACCGAGUCUUAACUGGGCGUUAAGUUGCAGGGUAUAGACCCGAAACCCGGUGAUCUAGCCAUGGGCAGGUUGAAGGUUGGGUAACACUAACUGGAGGACCGAACCGACUAAUGUUGAAAAAUUAGCGGAUGACUUGUGGCUGGGGGUGAAAGGCCAAUCAAACCGGGAGAUAGCUGGUUCUCCCCGAAAGCUAUUUAGGUAGCGCCUCGUGAAUUCAUCUCCGGGGGUAGAGCACUGUUUCGGCAAGGGGGUCAUCCCGACUUACCAACCCGAUGCAAACUGCGAAUACCGGAGAAUGUUAUCACGGGAGACACACGGCGGGUGCUAACGUCCGUCGUGAAGAGGGAAACAACCCAGACCGCCAGCUAAGGUCCCAAAGUCAUGGUUAAGUGGGAAACGAUGUGGGAAGGCCCAGACAGCCAGGAUGUUGGCUUAGAAGCAGCCAUCAUUUAAAGAAAGCGUAAUAGCUCACUGGUCGAGUCGGCCUGCGCGGAAGAUGUAACGGGGCUAAACCAUGCACCGAAGCUGCGGCAGCGACGCUGAUGCGUUGUUGGGUAGGGGAGCGUUCUGUAAGCCUGCGAAGGUGUGCUGUGAGGCAUGCUGGAGGUAUCAGAAGUGCGAAUGCUGACAUAAGUAACGAUAAAGCGGGUGAAAAGCCCGCUCGCCGGAAGACCAAGGGUUCCUGUCCAACGUUAAUCGGGGCAGGGUGAGUCGACCCCUAAGGCGAGGCCGAAAGGCGUAGUCGAUGGGAAACAGGUUAAUAUUCCUGUACUUGGUGUUACUGCGAAGGGGGGACGGAGAAGGCUAUGUUGGCCGGGCGACGGUUGU
rnacentral:rRNA from 1 species